rnacentral:rRNA from 1 species
UACGUAGGGGCCGAGUGUUGUCCGGAUUCAUUGGGCGUAAAGAGCGUGUAGGCGGCCGCUUAAGUCCUGCGUGAAAUCUCGGAGCUCAACUCCGAGCGGUCGUGGGAAACUGGGCGGCUAGAGUGCGGGAGAGGAGCGUGGAAUUCCUGGUGUAGCGGUGGAAUGCGCAGAUAUCAGGAAGAACACCCGGUGGCGAAGGCGGCUCUCUGGAACGCAACUGACGCUGAGACGCGAAAGCGUGGGGAGCAAACAGG